rnacentral:rRNA from 1 species
GACGAACGCUGGCGGCGUGCUUAACACAUGCAAGUCGAACGGAAAGGCCCUGCUUGCCGGGUACUCGAGUGGCGAACGGGUGAGUAACACGUGGGUGAUCUGCCCUGCACUUCGGGAUAAGCCUGGGAAACUGGGUCUAAUACCGGAUAGGAGCCAUUUUUAGUGUGAUGGUUGGAAAGUUUUUUUCGGUGUAGGAUGAGCUCGCGGCCUAUCAGCUUGUUGGUGGGGUAAUGGCCUACCAAGGCGGCGACGGGUAGCCGGCCUGAGGGGGUGGACGGCCACAUUGGGACUGAGAUACGGCCCAGACUCCUACGGGAGGCAGCAGUGGGGAAUAUUGCACAAUGGGCGCAAGCCUGAUGCAGCGACGCCGCGUGGGGGAUGACGGCCUUCGGGUUGUAAACUCCUUUCGCUAGGGACGAAGCUUUUUGUGACGGUACCUAGAUAAGAAGCACCGGCUAACUACGUG